GAGUCGAGCCUGCCCAGUGAUAUAUAUUUAACGGCCGCGGUACUCUGACCGUGCAAAGGUAGCAUAAUCAUUUGCCUUAUAAUUGAAGGCUAGUAUGAAUGGUUUGACGAAAACAAGACUGUCUCUUUUUAAUUUUAUAAAACUUGAUUUUUAGGUGAAGAAGCCUAAAUAUAAUUGAAAGACAAGAAGACCCUAUCGAGCUUAAAAAAAUUUUAUCAAUAUAAAAUGACUACAAAAGAUCAGCUGUGAUAAAAAAUUUUAGUUGGGGCGACUAAGGAACAAAUAAAGCUUCCUUUACUUAUAUAAAAGCUUUUAGCUACGAUCCAAAACUUUUGAUUAAAAAAAUUAGUUACCGUAGGGAUAACAGCAUAAUCUUUUUUAAGAGUUCUUAUCGAAAAAAAGGUUUGUGACCUCGAUGUUGGACUAGAAUAUCCUAAAUGAUGCAGAAGUCUUUAAGGGUUGGUCUGUUCGACCAC
rnacentral:rRNA from 1 species